UACUGUGGCCCAAUAACUUUAAGGCAAAAAAAAAAAAUUCGACUAGAUUCUCCUUGAACUGAUUCCAUAUAUUUAUAUCUUCUUUUCAUGAUAGCCAUUAAUCUGUGCCGUGUGCACAUGGGUAAUCUUAUGGCAUAUACCAAAUAUAAAGAUUGUUUGAAAAAGAUGUCUAGAAUGUGUUCAAGGCCUAAUCAUGUCAUUAUAUCCCUUAUCUUAUCUUGGUUGAAGUAUACGGUACGUUGCAAAUGAAAUGCUCGACGUAAUGCACCAGCGUUGAGUGCGUGAAUUGGAAAACGCGGUAAAGUAGUAAAGUGUAAAUUCACACGUACAAAAGUAUACAUUCAAAGUUAAUAGUUCCUUGCUGCAGAUCGCGUGUUAAGAGGCAAGCAUAUAGUCGGUCGGCGGCGAAUGAAAUUCAAGUUAUGAUUAUGUAAACACGAUGAGGGGGUAAUGUCGACAAUACGGUGAGAAAAAACUAAUUAAUCCCGGUACCAAAUGGUUGGUUGAACACCUAGCUUCCUAAAAUAAUCACGUUUAAGCGAAUACUUUAGCCAUUGAUCAUCACUGUGAGGGCCUUUGCCGUUGCCGUUGGAGCAUAGUUUAAAUUCAUUGAAAAUUUAUUUCGCUUUUCGUUUUAUUUUCAUAUAUUUUUCUUAUCUAC